ACCAAUUUAGGCAGCAAAUUGGUUGGGGUUUUAUCACUUGCUCAUCACUACAAAGGAGUGAAAUAUGCCUCCUACUUCAAGACUCAACAAUUACAUAACAACUCCAAAGUUACAUCGUUGGAAUUUCACGCUAAACAAAAAUUGUCAAAUUCAUUGCGACGCCGCUGAUAGGAUUGAUCAAAUUUCACAUGAUUUACAAAGUUUCGAACGAACAAAAAAUGACAAACUGAUGUUAUUCUCUUGACUUUCUAUCUAGAAUUGGUCUGCAGCCCGUCCAAGCAAUAAAAUGUUUGGGCAUGACUAAAAUAUCGUUUUGACAAGCAAAGCAUAACGCCAUUCAAAUUUCACGUGAUCGACAAAAUGAACAUUUGCAUUACGCCCGCCUUAACCUUGAAUUGCUUCACGUUUGUAUCCAAUUGUCGGCCAUGCACAAUGAACAGAAACGUUAAGUCACAUGAAGUCAAUUAGGUCUGAGGGCAAGCGGAGGAGGACAUGUGGGAGAAACGGAGAAUGGGCGAGAGAUAGGAAUGUUUAGUUUGCUCGGUGGACUGAGAGAGGAAGUCAUCAGCUUCCUGGAAUUUCUAAAUUUGUCUGGACAACUCUUGCGAGGGACUUUCAUCAUGCAUCUGAGGGCGUUUGAUUCCAUGUAUGCGUUUGCAUCUGUCACAUAAAUGACACCGAGUGACCUGAUUUAGGUUAAAAAAAAAAAAAAAAAAUCUCAGUAAUGUCGAAGCAGUGAACACAUGCACUGACAUGGAAAAUGGCGUUGAAAGAAUCGGCAUGAUAUUUGAAUCACUUAUAUCAUAGGUUACACUUGCUGUCUGUCCACUCCCAUACCCGUUGUGUCAACGUGUGUCUGCUGCUGCUGAUAAGAUGAAACAGACUUUUUUUUUUUUUUUGCGGUCAGCGGGAUAUGCACUAUCCCUGGGAAAUCGUACAGCAAGUGUGAGUGGAAUUUAUGUGGGAAGUGACUGUCAGGCAGGGGAUUAAAGAACCAAAGAGCAACUGAGGAAUGGGACAAAUACAAUGACAGAAGCUGUAUUUCUGAAAGAUAUGCGCGGCAAACACAUCGGCGGCAUAACGUGGCAAGGGAAAAUAAACAUUUAUCCAUCACUGGCGUAUUACACAAAAGGAUCUCCACCCUUGCCACUGUCCAAAUCUGGCAUGUACGGACGUGUAAAUCCCUGUCGCUCUUUGUCAGAGAUGAUUUAGUGCAGCUUUAGGAGGAAUCACUGCUCGCUGCCUUGGAGAAUCGUACAAUAGGUCCGUGUAUUUCAAAAUAAAUGCUUCUCUUAUCUGCCUCGUAGGCCACAAUGUGCGAGAGGGCGGGUGUGCGUCGGUUCUUGUGUGCGCAUGGCCACACAUGCACCUACCUGGGUGUGUCUGAGAUUGAGCGACCAAGGGAAAGCGCGGGAGGAAAUAAGGAGCUAUUACUGACAGAACUUCAUGUCAAAGGGACACACGCGCACAGGCACACACCCACUAACACGCACAACGCACACGCAAGAGGUUUAUAGCACCGCCCGCCAUAUCCUGACAAAUUACACUAGGUUGACUGUGGAAACCGGAUAAGGUAGAGCAGUGCUCCCAGCAGCCCAGUAAAUCAGCAGGGAGAAUAGUGUUUGGCCUGCGCCACCCUAAAUAUAACUCAUCUGAAAGGCACUGAUAAACACUGGCCACCGGCCACCCGCUGCUGGACGAGCGGCCGUCGAUUGUGACCCACUGAACUUGGACAGCGCAACCUGACAUUUCGCCUUUGUGAGCAUCGAACUGCUCGUGGAUCUCGCGGCGCUUCCCAUUCUCUGCCCCUCACGGCAUUCUGUUCAACCUUUCCUCUGCGCAUUGUGAUAGCUGCCGUGUGUAUUUGUGUUGUGUUGCCACGCAGUCGCGAUGUGGACACAGUGAAUGGGAAGACGGCUGGGAAAUGGCGGUGAACCUUUUGUCAGACAAUCAUCCGUGACAUAUAUACGAUGGAGAUGUUCCAAGGCAUGAGCGACGCACCUGAGAAUUUGAAGUUCCUCUCCUGAAUUUUGCAACUCGUCAGACAGUCUUCUCCA